rnacentral:rRNA from 1 species
GCGUAGGUGGGCUAGUAAGUCCGUGGUGAAAUCUCCGAGCUUAACUUGGAAACUGCCGUGGAUACUAUUAGUCUUGAAUAUUGUGGAGGUAAGCGGAAUAUGUCAUGUAGCGGUGAAAUGCUUAGAUAUGACAUAGAACACCGAUAGCGAAGGCAGCUUGCUACACAAUCAUUGACACUGAGGCACGAAAGCGUGGGGAUCAAACAGGAUUAGAUACCCUGGUAGUCCACGCCCUAAACGAUGGAUACUCGACAUACGCGAUACACAGUGUGUGUCUGAGCGAAAGCAUUAAGUAUCCCACCUGGGAAGUACGACCGCAAGGUUGAAACUCAAAGGAAUUGG